rnacentral:rRNA from 1 species
AGCGAACGCUGGCGGCAGGCUUAACACAUGCAAGUCGAACGGUCCUUCGGGAUAGUGGUGGACGGGUGAGUAACACGUGGGAACGUACCCUUAGGUUCGGAACAACACAGGGAAACUUGUGCUAAUACCGGAUAAGCCCUUCGGGGGAAAGAUUUAUCGCCUUUGGAGCGGCCCGCGUCUGAUUAGCUUGUUGGUGAGGUAAUGGCUCACCAAGGCUACGAUCAGUAGCUGGUCUGAGAGGAUGGCCAGCCACACUGGGACUGAGACACGGCCCAGACUCCUACGGGAGGCAGCAGUGGGGAAUCUUGCGCAAUGGGCGAAAGCCUGACGCAGCCAUGCCGCGUGGAUGUUGAAGGUCUUAGGAUUGUAAAAUCCUUUCACCGGGGACGAUAAUGACGGUACCCGGAGAAGAAGCCCCGGCUAACUUCGUGCCAGCCGCCGCGGUAA